GUUCACCUCUGUCAGUAUAAAGCUCACAGCUGAUGGUGAGAGCAAAAAACAAGUCAUGAGGUUGAAGGAAUUGUCCAGUUUGUCAUUAAGAGGUUUAUUAAACACACAGGGUCAGUAGUGGAACAUCAGCUGGACUCAAAACUCCUAAUCUCUUGUUUCUCAGCCCAGUUCCUAACUAGUGUGUGUGUGUGUGUGUGUGUGUGUGUGUGUUACACUAUCUUGUGAUCAUGUAUGUGUUUUCUUUUAACUCGCACAGAGCCACUUGUAGUUAGACAGCUGUGGUUAGACACCAUGUUACAACCACAUCUGAAAAUAAAGAGCACUUGGAGAGAGUAAUACUACCAGCGUUGCUAACUCUCACACAUUUAGAAGUGUAAGAUUUUUGUGAGAUUUCCGUCUUGAGGAUCCAACCAUUGAAGUUCAUCUCCUCUGUUAUCAAGUACUUCUACCUAUAUUUAUGGAGUUUAAUCUGUUAUUCACGUUCAGUUAGUGUAAUGUGUUUUUGGGAGGUUAAUAUCUCUAUUUCAAAUAAGGAGUUUCAUAUGAAAGCUGAUGUCAAAGUUCCUGAAGCCUGUAGCUUUCAAGACAGGUUUAGAGACUGCUGACCUUCUUGGACAAGAAAACCAACUGCCAUCUGAAUAAAAGUGAUUAGAUAUGUUACCUUUUUUUUUUUUUUUUUAAAAUGAAAACUGCAAUAACUUAUUGUUAUGUAGUGAGGGCAGCAUGCUUCUGCUGUGAGAGAAAGAGAUGGUUUGUUGUCUUUUUGGCACUUCAGCUUGGCCCUAGGACUGACAACAAGCGCCACUGUGAGAAGGCGGCAUGAGGCUGGCGAGAUUCCCUCCAGUGAUGUUGCAAACUUCUACAAAGCAGCAGUGGGCUUUGUGGUGAGGUCUACAGAGUAUACCUUGACAAAGCUGCCACUGAAUGACCCCCUUCUGUCACAUGCUCAGUUUAUGGACUUCAGGCGGAGACUGGACACCAAAAGGGAUGAUGUGCUUUAUUUUGUCCAAAGGUGAACAAAUUAACCCUGUUUCACUAUACCAGUAAUCUGAGAGACGUGGAGUGGUGGCUCUACCAGCUGCUGAAAUGAUCAGUUUCCAGUUUUUAUAAUUGCUUGCACAUUUCUCAAUACUAUGUUCACUUUUUUCAAAACUCUUCACACAGUUGGCUUCACCAGUGUGCAGCACAUCCAUAUCAAUAUCACAAUGCACUAUAACUGUCGAAACACUUCAUACAUGCCUGGAGUAUACUGGAACCACACCCUGGAUUGUACACCAGUCAACUGCAGGAACCACACACAUAAAUAACAAAGAGCAAUUUAUCUUAGCUGGUCCACCUACUGGCAUGUUUUAGAAGGAGGGAGGAAAUCCACAUGGCCAUCGGGAGAACAAGCACAGAAACUCCACACAGAUGGGAUCCCUAGCUCAGGAUUGAAGCGGGGACCCUGGAACUGUGAGGAGACAACGCCACCCACUGCAUCACCACGCUGCUCACAGGUCCACAGAUUUCCCCUUUUGUAUACAUGGUAAUGACCUGCCUGACCCAUCCUGAUGCCCUACUUCUGGCUAGAUUUCUCAUUGGUUGAGUUCACUUGCUGCUACUGGGGGUGGCCCCAUAUGGGCAAUUGCCAGACCUCCAGCUUGGCCCUAGGACUGACAACAAGCGCCACUGUGAGAAGGUGCAUGAGGCUGGCGAGAUUUCCUCCAGUGAUGUUGCUAACUUCUACAUAGCAGCAAUGGGCUUUCUGGUGAAGUCUACAGAGUAUACCUUGACAAAGCUGCCACUGAAUGACCCAAUUCUGUCACAUGCUCAGUUUGUGGACUUCAGGCAGAGACUGGACACCAAAAGGAAUAAUGUGCUUUACUUUGUCCAAAGGUGAACAAAUGAACCCUGUUUGACUAUACCAAUAUUCCAAGUAAACAAUAAUUAAAUUAAGAUAAUCUGAGUCAUUUGGAGUGUUUGCUGGCCACCAGCUGCUGUAAUGGAUAAGACAAGAUCCUUCGUAGGAGGGAGGGAUUCUGUAAUUGAAAUGUGUGUUUUGUCUUGUUUGGCUAAGUUGGUGAUGAAGAAUUAGUUGCAGUUUUAUUUACAGAAUUUCAUAAUAGAAAGGAAACUAGUGUUGACAUUUGACAAUCACCUUCUGCCAUUUGACAAUGCCAGAGAACCGGACAGCAUGGGUGAGGAGUUCCUGGAUUUUCAAAUGCUAGAAGACACCGACAUCCCAGAAAGGGUCUGGAAAACUGCCCUGGUCAAGGUGGAUGGGAAGAAGGAAUUCCACCAAAUGGACAUCAUAAGGGCACACUUGAGUGCCAUGAAGAGCCGUUUAACAGGUGCACCCAGGUUCCAAAGACUUGUGAAAGUGGCACAGCUUGUGCUCUGCCUACCGCACUCAAAUGCAGACUCUGAGAAAACCUUCUGUGAUAGGCCUCAACAAAACUGAGACAAGAGAUAAAUUAUCACUAGAGGGUACACUGUCCUCUGUAAUGUGUAUCAAGAUGACCCAGAUGGAACCAUGCCACAGAUAUGAGCCACCUCUGCAGAUGAUUAAAAACUCAGUCUGCAGCCUCUGAAUACGACAAAGAAAAUUCAGCAAAAUAGGUUCAUAAACCAUGCCAGGAAAAUGUUUUUCCUAUUUUACUUCAAAAGGAAAGCAUAAAUUGUACAUUUACAUUGUUUUCAUGACCGUUAGGCACAUUUUACCCCCUAAUUCUCAUUUCCAAACAGCAAAAAAUGUAAUUUGAUUCAUAAAUCUCAAUCCAGCCUGGUAGCCAAAGUUGGCAACCCUGUAGUACAGAAUGUGCAGAUUUCUUUAAAAUGAUCAGUUAUCAGUUUUUUUUUCUCAAUACUAUGUUCACUUUUUCAGAACUAUUCACGCAGCUGGCUAUACCAUCGUGCAGCUCAGUACAGCAGUUAACCUCACAUUAUAUCUAUCAAAACACUUAAUACACGCCUCAAAACCAACUCAUUCUACCAGAACACUCACAAAGGAUCUCUCUCUCAUCAAAGUAGACCUGGAGUAUACCAGAAAUAAACUCUGGAUUGAACACCAGUCAACUGCAGGAACCAUAGACCCACACACACACAUUCAUAAUAAAGAACAAUUUGUCUUAGCCAGUCGACUUACUGGCAUGUUUCAGGAGGAGGGAGGAAAUCAGAGGAAACCCACAUGGACAUGGGGAGAACAAGCACAGAAACUCCACACAUAUGGGACCCUGGGUUCAGGAUUGAAGUGGGGACCCUGGAGCUGUGAGGAGACAACGCUACCCACUGCAUCACCACACUGCUCAUAGGGCCAUAGAUUUCCCCUUUUGUAUAGAUGGUAAUGAAGUGAAAAACAGAACACCUGGGUAAGGCUAAAUUAGAAAUCAACUGUGAUUAUUUAUUCAUUUGUUUGUUUGUUUAUUUGUUUUUAUUAUUAUAAAAUGCAUAACUUUUGGUUCUGAACUUGAUUAUUAAUUAGUUCUGAAAACCGUAUGUGAAUAUUUGAAAAAUAAUUUGUAGAUAGACAGAGUUUUGCUGGAGGUUGAGUUUGAGUGAGAAAAGAUAUCAUGAAUUUUAAAAGUUGAGGCUAUUCAAUCCUUUCUGUGUCAAGGCAAUGAAAACUGAUACACAGUUCAGUCGAUAUAGACCACUAAUGUGAGUUUUGAAGAUGUGAACGCAAUAUCAAUAAAGCCACUGUAUGUUUAAAAAAAAAAACUGCAAAUAAGGCGUAAGGUAGGAAGUGAAGCUGGUCACUGACAGAGGGACAGCAGAAAAAGGUGUGAAAUUCACACGCAUCUAUUUACAGCUAAGACCAGCAUGAGGAAGUGACGUACAAGUUACAGGAAAAUAAUUUUGCUACUACGUUUUAUGAGUUAUUAUAGAUACAUUCAAUGAGACAGAGAUUGUGAGAGAUGUAAUUCAGUAAAUGUGUAAAAACAUACACUGUAAGUAUUAUAGGGAUGUAAAAUAAUCUCACUGUAGAAUCCUCCUUAUUCAUUAGCCCACCUCUCUUCAUCAGUACAUUUUAGACUAAAGUUAAUCAGCAAGAAAAAAUCCUGUAGUAAGCAAAGUUGUUGUUAAUUAAAACUCUAAAUGAUAAACAGUUUACAGUGUUGGUUUGGUUGUUCAGGAACAGGGCUGAACUCCGGCCUACUGUAAACCCAGUCUGGACAGAAAGCACAUGAACUAAACACAAAACAGCUGAACUAAGAACUGGCUAAUAUUCUCUCUCCUUCUGUAAUAGAAAAUAGAAAAUAACUUCUCACCUGCAGCGACGUGAAACACAACAGACAAAAGAUACAAGCACUUCAUCAUUACUGAUUCUUCUACACGCACACCAGUCCCUCAAAGUGAAACACACACACACUCUGUCACAUUUCCUGAGUGUCUGUCUUUUAUAUAGUCUGGUUUUUAGGAAACCGCAACAACGCUAUGUCAUUUCUCUUUUUGGAAAAUCUUUUCAUCACUCUUUCCAUUACCUAAUUUAUUUUUAUAUGCAGUAUUAAUAGCUAUUCAUAUUUUCUCAUGUGGUGGUUUUAUCACAGUAUCAUGAUUGUUAUCUGUCUUAGGUGCCAUUUUCUCAAUGCUUGCAAUGCUUCUUGCCUUUUCUUUAGAUGAAAUUUUACCUAAAUAAACAAAUGAAUGCAUUACAA